rnacentral:rRNA from 1 species
CCUACGGGAGGCAGCAGUGAGGAAUAUUGGUCAAUGGACGAGAGUCUGAACCAGCGAAGUAGCGUGAAGGAUGACUGCCCUAUGGGUUGUAAACUUCUUUUAUAUGGGAAUAAAAUGUUCCACGUGUGGGAUUUUGUAUGUACCAUAUGAAUAAGGAUCGGCUAACUCCGUGCCAGCAGCCGCGGUAAUACGGAGGAUCCGAGCGUUAUCCGGAUUUAGUGGGUUUAAAGGGAGCGUAGGUGGAUUGUUAAGUCAGUUGUGAAAGUUUGCGGUGCAACCGUAAAAUUGCAGUUGAAACUGGCAGUCUUGAGUACAGUAGAGGUGGGCGGAAUUCGUGGUGUAGCGGUGAAAUGCUUAGAUAUCACGAAGAACUCCGAUUGCGAAGGCAGCUCACUGGACUGCAACUGACACUGAGGCUCGAAAGUGUGGGUAUCAAACAGGAUUAGAUACCCCGGUAGUC